UACGAAGGGUGCUAGCGUUGUUCGGAAUCACUGGGCGUAAAGCGCGCGUAGGCUGUUUUCCAAGUCAGAGGUGAAAUCCCUGGGCUCAACCCAGGAACUGCCUUUGAAACUGGAAGACUAGAGUGUCGGAGGGGAUAGCGGAAUUCCUAAUGUAGAGGUGAAAUUCGUAGAUAUUAGGAGGAACACCGGUGGCGAAGGCGGCUAUCUGGACGACAACUGACGCUGAGGCGCGAAAGCACGGGGAUCAAACAGG
rnacentral:rRNA from 1 species